CAACCUCCACCUCCCAAGCUCAAGCAAUUCUCCUGCCUCAGCUUACAGAGUAGCUGAGAUGUGCACCACAACACCUGGCUGGUUUUUGUGUUUUUAGUAGAGAUGGGGUCCCCUGGCCUCAUGUGAUCCUCCUGCCUCGGCCACCAAAAGUGCUGGGAUUUCAGGCCUGAGCCACAAUGCCCAGCCCCACCUAAUUUUUUUUAAAAAGUUUUUUGUAGAGA
rnacentral:lncRNA from 10 species